CUCCUUCAACAACACCGCAACAAAUCCCAGCCAUUCGAAAUCACAAAACAAAACAAAUCUCAAAAAUUUCAAUCACCAACUAUUAAUUUAUAAUUGUUGAUAAAGAUCUACGUAUGAAAUGAAAUUAAGCACAAAAUUGAAUUGAUCCUUAGGAUGUUUAUGAACUAUGAAGAAAAGAAGUGAAACUUUAAUAUAAGGAGGCACGUGGGGGCCACAAUAAAAAACGGGCAGGCUGCCCGUCACGGGCAUCAUUAGACACGUAUAUUGGUAUGACGUACUAACAUGCGAUCUCAACCAUCUAUUACAUCAGUUAGAUUAAUAUUUAAACACGUGGUGAGGUGUUUAUGUAUUGAUAUUGCGUGGACCAAUAAGAACUCACCACGCUCUCUCUCACGAAUUGAAUUCAAUUUAAUUCCACCUUUGAUUGAGUCCUUCACUCUAUUACUCUUCUUAGCAAAAUGUUUCCUUCUUUUCUUUUAUUGUUGUACCCUCUUUUUUCGAUCUCAAAGACACUCUCGUUCGAAGGAUAUUACCACGUGGCGGCAUCGUGAAAUAAGAGAUUCUUGUUUUGAUUCUGAGACCACGUCCUCUAUCAUAAAAUGCAAAUUACACGCACCAUGUCCCCUCCUUCAUUAUCUCUCAUUCAUCACACUUCAUUUUCUCACACCAAAACGCUUGAAUAUUAUUAUGUUGUUAUACACUAUUAAAUUAAUUCAUAUCUUUUAAGACAGAUGUUGAUAUUAGUAAAGUUAAAUUUCAAUGUAGAUAAUAUUAUGUAUUGAGAUGAAUGAAUCAACAUUAUAAAAUAGAAGUUCAUGAAUGACGGGAGAAAGGGGGCUUGAAGGAAGAAAAUGACUGUUAGAUACUUACAUGUUGAAUUUUUGUUCAGUAAGGACCGGAUCUGUAGUUUUUUACUGAAUAGAAUUUAAGGAUUUCUUAUGUACUACAAGUUAAUUUUCUCAAAAUUUCAAUAUUGAACAAUUCGAG
rnacentral:lncRNA from 1 species